GUUAUAUGGUCAAGUGAAGAAGCGCAUACGGUGGAUGCCUUGGCAGUCAGAGGCGAUGAAAGACGUGGUAGCCUGCGAUAAGCUUUGGGGAGUCGGCAAACAGACUGUGAUCCAGAGAUCUCUGAAUGGGGGAACCCACUCAGCAUAAGCUGAGUAUCUUGUACUGAAUACAUAGGUGCAAGAGGCGAACCAGGGGAAC
rnacentral:rRNA from 1 species